AGCGGAUUGAUGGGAGCUUGCUCCCAUCAGUCAGCGGCGGACGGGUGAGUAACACGUGGGUAACCUGCCUGUAAGACUGGGAUAACUCCGGGAAACCGGGGCUAAUACCGGAUAACUCAUUUCCUCGCAUGAGGAAAUGUUGAAAGAUGGCUUCUUGCUAUCACUUACAGAUGGACCCGCGGCGCAUUAGCUAGUUGGUGAGGUAACGGCUCACCAAGGCGACGAUGCGUAGCCGACCUGAGAGGGUGAUCGGCCACACUGGGACUGAGACACGGCCCAGACUCCUACGGGAGGCAGCAGUAGGGAAUCUUCCGCAAUGGACGAAAGUCUGACGGAGCAACGCCGCGUGAGUGAUGAAGGUUUUCGGAUCGUAAAACUCUGUUGUUAGGGAA
rnacentral:rRNA from 1 species